rnacentral:rRNA from 1 species
GAUGAACGCUGGCGGUAUGCUUAACACAUGCAAGUCGAACGGACUCUUCGGAGUUAGUGGCGGACGGGUGAGUAACGCGUGAGAAUCUGGCUUUGGGUUCGGGACAACCACUGGAAACGGUGGCUAAUACCGGAUGUGCCGAGAGGUAAAAGAGAAAUUGCCUGAAGAUGAGCUCGCGUCUGAUUAGCUAGUUGGUGAGGUAAGGGCUCACCAAGGCAGCGAUCAGUAGCUGGUCUGAGAGGAUGACCAGCCACACUGGGACUGAGACACGGCCCAGACUCCUACGGGAGGAAGCAGUGGGGAAUUUUCCGCAAUGGGCGAAAGCCUGACGGAGCAAUACCGCGUGAGGGAAGAAGGCUCUGGGGUUGUAAACCUCUUUGCUUAGGGAAGAACAAAAUGACGGUACCUAAGGAAUCAGCAUCGGCUAACUCCGUG